rnacentral:lncRNA from 1 species
CAGACAUAAUCUAAGCCUACAAGUCUUUAAGGUUACUAAAGAAGAAAUGGAUUCCAUUAGGCAACCUAAAAUCCUACAAGAUCUAUGUUAUCCGAUUGGUUCUGUCCAACCAUCUAGAAUUAGAUCCUCAGCCAAUAAUUUUAUAAUUGUCCCUCAAAUGAUUAACAUGCAUUCUACAUUUACUGGAAUUGAAGAUGCAUACAUUUAUAUAAGGA